UUUAAUAUAGUGCCAUCUAUAGGAGUUAUUUCAAUUUUUUCGAUUCUUUUCAAUAUUUUCAAUUAUUUCGGUAAUUUCGAUUCCUAUCCCUAUAAUUAUUUAAUUUAAAUCUUUUUUUAUACAGAUCUCAGCAUCCCAUUCAAGCCAAAGCUUAUAUUAAGGCAAAGAAUGACAAGGUAGUGCAACUGGCUGCUGACAGGGAGGAAGUUGAAAAGGAGCUUGAUAGAUCUUCAAGUUUGAGAGGUUUCUUUCCAGCCACAACCACUAGUAAAAAAAGGCUGGAUAACCUUAGUAAAAAGUCUCCACCAUCCAGUCAGCAAGGUGAUCAUGAAAAACUUCAAGUAACUCUGGAUGAGUAUGUUAAGAUAGAGUGAUUAGCACUGUCUCUAGAAACUGCAACAACUUACCCAUAUAUAUUAGAUAACUAAAUGGGAUUCACAAAGCAGCUGUCAGCUUGAUUUUGAUACAGUUCUCACUCUGGCCUGCAUCAUGUCAAAUCUUCCUUUCAAUAUUGUGGAAACUCCAGGAAUGAAGUUGCUCUUGAACUAUUUGGCACCAAAAGCAAUCAUAAAAACACCAAAAACACUUGCUACAACAAAGCUUGACAUGAUUCAUCGUAAUGUUGAAAAAGCAAUAACCAAUCAACUUGAGGAAGAAGUACCAGAAUGUGAAAGUGUAGCUUUUACAUCAAAUGGUUGGACUGCAAAAAAUGGUGAUCCUUUUGAAUCUCUCACACUCCAUUACAUCAACAGUGAUUUUGAGUUGAAAAAGUACAGUUUGGACUGCCAGGCUCAUUUAAAUAGGAAA